AUAUUGCACAAUGGGCGAAAGCCUGAUGCAGCAACGCCGCGUGAGGGAUGACUGCCUUAGGGUUGUAAACCCAUUUUAGUAGGGAAGAAGCGAAAGUAAACGUACCUGCAGAAAAAGCACCAGCUACAUACGUGCCAGCAGCCGCGGAAAUACGGAGGUUGCAAGCGUGCUCCGGAAUUACUGGGCGUAAAGAGCUCGUAGGCGGCUUGUCGCGUCUGCUGUGAAAUCCCGGAGCUCAACUCCGGGCCUGCAGUGGGUACGGGCAAGCUAGAGUGCGGUAGGGGAGAUUGGAAUUCCUGGUGUAGCGGUGGAAUGCGCAGAUAUCAGGAGGAACACCGAUGGCGAAGGCAGAUCUCUGGGCCGCUACUGACGCUGAGGAGCGAAAGCAUGGGGAGCGAACAG
rnacentral:rRNA from 1 species